ensembl:lncRNA
GUGAGUGCAGAGCCACCAUCGCGUAGCUGAGUGUUAGAGCUGAGCUAAAAGUGCUCUCUGUGGGUUUGCUGAAUGUUUUUGGAGGAGCCUGACGCCGCUUUGCUGGAAGCUCUGCUCCCAGGUGCUGCCCUCUCACGGUGAGGAGUGCAGCCCCAGGGCUGAUAGCGCAAGAGAAGUCAGAGCAAGUGGUGGUGUGCUUUUCAAGACCUCAGGUUUGAUGCUGGGUUGCUCCAUUUCUUUUGGCGCCAGGGUUGUGCUGAAAUCCAUUGCUGGAUGCUACAGGCAAGCAGACAGAGCAGCCCUGCGAGGCUCUCCCGCUCCUGCUUGCCUCAGUGGAGGACUAAUGCCUCCUGGUGGUCCCAAACACGUCUCGCUGAUGGCACAGGAGUGUGCCUGUGCCCCUUCCAGCGUUAACAAGGUCAUCUGGCUGCUGGGACGCCUGGGGAAGGUACCAGAAGCAUCCCAUCCGCUAUCUGCAGCUCACGUGGAGAUGCUCUGGGCACCAAGUGGGAAGGCUCAGAGUGACAGCAAAGAGGUAAGAGACAAAGGACAGGUAGUGGAGAAAGGGCAGAGGCUGAGCUGUGGCAUGAGGCCAUGGGCUGACCAUGGAAGUGCAACGGAACUGGGGGCUGUCGGAACCACUGAAAGCUUCAGUCCUGAAGAGAACCCAGAUACAACGUGGGCUGCUUUAACCAGGGACACAGUGAACAGCCAUGGAAGUGAGAACCCAAAGCUUCAUCAGCAAAAUUCCAUGGUUUAAUGAGGUCUCACUCAGUAUGGCACAGAGCAGGGCUCUGGCACAGAGCAGGGCUCUGGCGCAGUGUAAGGCUAUGGCACACAACAAGAACCCUAUGGUGCCACCUGGAGCUGCACAGGGACAAAAGUUCUUCCAAUGAAAGUAUUCCUCUUCAAAUGAAAAAUACUGUAAACAUGAAGAAAACCUGAAGAUCUUCUGGAGGAAAAAUGAUGCAGUUCUGCACAACAGGAUACAGGGCCAAUAGAGAUGGGGUGGUGUUGGGACAGCUCUGCGGGAGGAGGAGGCUGGAGGACUGCCUGACGGUGCCAUUGAGUUGUCCCAGUUUUACCUAUGAGAUGUGGAGUAUGGAAAGCAGAACUCGACAGUUGAACUGCUUCUGCUUUUCAUGGGAAAUAAAAGCUUGCACUGCAUUCUCUGCUUUU